AUCCGACUGACGUGUCCAAAAUAGAACGAAAUGUGAGUCCUGGAU
rfam:Schistosoma margrebowiei strain Zambia genome assembly, scaffold: SMRZ_contig0000543